rnacentral:rRNA from 1 species
UGGGGAAUCUUAGACAAUGGGGGAAACCCUGAUCUAGCCAUGCCGCGUGAGUGACGAAGGCCCUAGGGUCGUAAAGCUCUUUCGCCAGGGAUGAUAAUGACAGUACCUGGUAAAGAAACCCCGGCUAACUCCGUGCCAGCAGCCGCGGUAAUACGGAGGGGGUUAGCGUUGUUCGGAAUUACUGGGCGUAAAGCGCGCGUAGGCGGACUGUUAAGUCAGAGGUGAAAUCCCGGGGCUCAACCCCGGAACUGCCUUUGAUACUGGCAGUCUUGAGUUCGAGAGAGGUGAGUGGAAUUCCGAGUGUAGAGGUGAAAUUCGUAGAUAUUCGGAGGAACACCAGUGGCGAAGGCGGCUCACUGGCUCGAUACUGACGCUGAGGUGCGAAAGCGUGGGGAGCAAACAGGAUUAGAUACCCCCGUAGUCC